GCCAGCGUGGCACAAUGGUUUGAGCACUGGACUAUGACUCUGGCGACCAGGGUUUGAUUCCCAGUUCAGCCA